rnacentral:rRNA from 2 species
UGUGACAUACCUAUUUGUUGCCUCGGCGGUGCCUGUUCCGACAGCCCGCCAGAGGACCCCAAACCCUGAUUACAUUUAAGAAGUCUUCUGAGUAAACCGAUUAAAUAAAUCAAAACUUUCAACAACGGAUCUCUUGGUUCUGGCAUCGAUGAAGAACGCAGCGAAAUGCGAUAAGUAAUGUGAAUUGCAGAAUUCAGUGAAUCAUCGAAUCUUUGAACGCACAUUGCGCCCGCUAGUAUUCUGGCGGGCAUGCCUGUCCGAGCGUCAUUUCAACCCUCAAGCCCCCGGGCUUGGUGUUGGGGAUCGGCGAGCCUCCGCGCCCGCCGUCCCCUAAAUCUAGUGGCGGUCUCGCUGUAGCUUCCUCUGCGUAGUAGCACACCUCGCACUGGGAAACAGCGCGGCCACGCCGUUAAACCCCCAACUUCUGAACGUUUGACCUCGGAUCAGGUAGGAAUACCCGCUGAACUUAAGCAUAUCAAUAAGCGGAGG